CUGCCUCUCAGCUGUGACUGCGACUGCCUUAGCAAGGCCGGGAUGCUGGAAACACUGACUGCCUGGGGACAAGGGGCUGGGGAGCCCGGAGCUUCCAGGGAGAGAGCCCUCUUUCACUGGCCUCCAGGCUGCGCUGGGUGGAGUCAGGCUCUCCCUGACAUCCUCUGUCCUGCCGGCUUCCAGGAGGCCUGAGGCCUGGCCGGCAGCUCUGCUUGGGGGGCCCGGCCCCCUGGGAGGGCUGAUGAGACCGCAGCUUCAGAGGCAGCUUGUGCCCUGGCCCCAGUCCAGAGUCUCAGUCCCACCAUCGUGUGCUUGUCACCCUGGAUAGCAGUUCCCCCACCAGACCCAGGGUGGUGGUGCUGGGCAGGCCUGGGGCAAGGCGAGCAGUGGGGGACAGGCCAGCCAGGUGCAGGAGCCUCUGGCCCUGACCCCCGGGGCCCGGAAUUUGGGCACCUGGUGGAAACUCUACACCCCAGUGAAAACCUCAGCCCGGGAAGACCGCUCUGGUCAUCGAGCCCCUGAGACCCCCAUCUCUGCUCCCAUCGUGGCCUAAAUCCAUCAUGAGCCCAGGUGUCAGGAGUCUGUUCAGAGCAAUCUGGGGACACGCUCAGGACCAUGGAGGUGAGGGGGAGCAGGAAGUGGCUGAGCUAUCCUCCUUCCUGAAGGUCGUCGUUUCUUUGAGGCUACAGGGCUGGUCACCUACAGAGCAUGGCCUGACCCCUCUUCCCUUUAGUCCCACGCUUCCUCAGUGUCUUCGAGCUCCUCAAACUCCAAUGUGCCCUACCUGAGGGGUGCUCACCCACAAAGGCCAAUCCUUCUCCUGCUGACGGUCUGAUCGCUGGAGGGCUUUUUUCUCCCGUGUGGGGUGUGUUGAGGUAACAACGCCUUCCCUCUCACAGGGAGAAUAACAAGGUUCCUAGGAGAAGCAACUGAGGACAGCCAGGACCUUCCCAUUCAAGGGUAGCCGCAGGAAACAGGUCACAGGCCCCAGGACAGAGCCUGAGUUCCUCGGGACAUCCCAGAGCUGCCUUGGGAGUGAAGGGACUGGGGCGGCCCAGGAGGGAGGCAGGGCCUGAACCUCUGCCCUUGAAAAUGGAAGAGCCUCUGGCCGCCUCGAGUCCCAGGGUGAGGGUUCUUUCCACCGGACUCCUCUAUUGUCCAUGAAUAAUUUGCACCGGCCUGGCAAGGCAGUCCCUGACCACAUCCCUCUUCUCACUUUUCUGGAACAUCAACGCCAGCUUCUCUGCUCUCCUUCGGGCCGCUCUCCCGCCCGCUCUGGCAAGCUGGAGGACCCGUGUGUUCAAAAUCCUUGGUCAGUUCGUUCCCCUCCUGGAAGGAAGACAACCAGAGAAUGUCCCUGUCCUUGUCAGCACGCGAUCCUCUGCAGCUGUUAAAAACAAUAAAAGAAAUGAAGACUUUCUCUACCUC